AUGCCAUGUGACACAUGGAACAUGGCGGUUUCCUCUCCUGCCCCAGUGGAGAACCGAACCUGGACUGCAAUGCAACAUCAAAUUGCGUACUAUCUUUUCGUAGUAAUUCCUGUUUGUGCCUGGCGUUUCCGUGCAGUUCUCUCGCUGCUCUGGACGAAGUUCUCUGAUAAGGUGGGCAGUGGAGAAGAAGAGACAGAGAAGCUGUCAAGCGCAUGCGUGCGUGUUGUUUGUUCCAGACGGUGGUCCGGUCUGCGGACGGGCGCCCGUGACCUGACCUCACCGGUCCUGAUGCAAUCAAACCCAUAG
rnacentral:rRNA from 1 species